CUGCACUAGUCUUGCCUGUCCUGAUCUUCCUGGGGUGCGCGCACUCCUUCAGCGUGUCCUGGUUUUAAAAGACUAACCCAUCCGGAUGGGCCUGAACUCAAGAAGCAACUAUUCUAAGCUAGACUGAGCCUUGGCGUCUCCGCAGCCUGGGAAGCUCGGAUAGAGCUCUUUGAAGAAGGCGGCUGCAAGCCAGUCUCCGAACCCCAGGGGACUUUUGGGCAAGGGAGCCGGUGGAAGCAGAAGGAAGAAGAUGCGCUGAGAGUCCUCACAACUGCGUCUCCGGAGGCAGAACGAAGUGGGGACUUCAGACAAUCAAGCGUCAUCCUUGCUCCCCCCUCCCCACACGGAACCCUGCGAUUAUGGCAAGAGAAAACUGGUUUGAGCUUGAGAAAAUUU
rnacentral:lncRNA from 1 species